rnacentral:tRNA from 1 species
AUCUGCCUGGUUUAGUCCAUAGAGCAUGAGACUCUUGAUCUCAGGGUUGUGAGUUCAAGUCCCACGUUGGGUG